AUGAACCCAGCCGAAGGGGCAGCCGAGGAAGGGGCAGUGCCCGAUUCAGAGGUGGAUGCCUUUUUCCGAACAGCCAGGGAAGAGAGCAACAAGCCCCAAAGGCGAGACAGCAGAAGAAGCAGCAGCAGAAGCCCAGCUGAGCCCAGAUUGCCACAACUGGUGGAGUCCUCCCACACCAGAAGCCAAGGCAAGCCACGGGGGGAAGCAACUUCCAGAGAAGUAUUCCAAACAGGGAAGACUACAAAAUCCAAACAUCUUUCCAGUUGGCACCUAUGGACGAGGCCUGAGGGCCCAAAGCAAGGCACCUACCCUGACCAAGCAAGCAUCCCCUUCACAUAUCCAGAUAAAUAUCCUCCCAAUCAAAAGUGCGCAGUGUACAUCUACAAACUCAACAGAUACAAACUCAGUUAUGAGGUAGUUGAGAAAUGGAUGUUUGCAUCAAACAUUCUGAUUUGAAGCAAAGUUCAAAGAUACAGAUCUUCAGUCAGAAACACGUAGAGUAGUUAAAAUGGACAUCUUUAGUUCUUGAUGCAAAAAUUGGGGUAUACAAAUACAGAACAAAUAAAAUGGCAAAAUUAACUGUGUGGGUUCCA
rnacentral:lncRNA from 1 species